rnacentral:rRNA from 1 species
AACGAACGCUGGCGGCAGGCUUAACACAUGCAAGUCGAGCGCCCCGCAAGGGGAGCGGCAGACGGGUGAGUAACGCGUGGGAAUCUACCCAUCUCUACGGAAUAACGCAUGGAAACAUGUGCUAAUACCGUAUACGUCCUUCGGGAGAAAGAUUUAUCGGAGAUGGAUGAGCCCGCGUUGGAUUAGCUAGUUGGUGGGGUAAAGGCCUACCAAGGCGACGAUCCAUAGCUGGUCUGAGAGGAUGAUCAGCCACACUGGGACUGAGACACGGCCCAGACUCCUACGGGAGGCAGCGGUGGGGAAUAUUGGACAAUGGGCGCAAGCCUGAUCCAGCCAUGCCGCUUGAGUGAUGAAGGCCCUAGGGUUGUAAAGCUCUUUCACCGGUGAAGAUAAUGACGGUAACCGGAGAAGAAGCCCCGGCUAACUUCGUGCCAGCCGCCGCCGUAACAC